CGGGUUGUCAUGCCAAUGGCACUGCCCGGUAGCUAAAUGCGGAAAAGAUAAGUGCUGAAAGCAUCUAAGCACGAAACUUGCCCCGAGAUGAGUUCUCCCUGACUCUUUAAGAGUCCUGAAGGAACGUUGAAGACGACGACGUUGAUAGGUCGGGUGUGUAAGCGCAGCGAUGCGUUGAGCUAACCGAUACUAAUGAACCGUGAGGCUUAACCUU
rnacentral:rRNA from 1 species